rnacentral:rRNA from 1 species
AGUCAUUGUAGCAAUACAAGGCAGACGGCUCAGUAACGCGUAGUCAACCUACCCUAUGGACGGGAAUAACCUCGGGAAACUGAGUAUAAUGCCCGAUAGAACACUAUACCUGGAAUGGUUUGUGUUUCAAAUGAUUUAUUGCCGUAGGAUGGGACUGCGGCCUAUCAGUUCGUUGGUGAGGUAAUGGCCCACCAAGACUAUUACAGGUACGGGCUCUGAGAGGAGUGGCCCGGAGAUGGGUACUGAGACACGGACCCAGGCCCUAUGGGGCGCAGCAGGCGAGAAAACUUUGCAAUGUGCGAAAGCACGACAAGGUUAAUCCGAGUGGUUUCUGCUAAAGGAACCUUUUGACAGUCCUAGAAACACUGUUGAAUAAGGGGUGGGCAAGUUCUGGUGUCAGCCGCCGCGGUAAAACCAGCACCUCAAGUGGUCAGGAUGAUUAUUGGGCUUAAAGCAUCCGUAGCCGGCUCAGUAAGUUUUCGGUUAAAUCUGUACGCUCAACGUACAGGCCGCCGGGAAUACUGCAGAGCUAGGGAGUGGGAGAGGUAGACGGUACUCGGGAGGAAGUGGUAAAAUGCUUUGAUCUUUCGAUGACCACCUGUGGCGAAGGCGGUCUACCAGAACACGUCCGACGGUGAGGGA